rnacentral:rRNA from 1 species
CGUUGGCGGCGUGGAUUAGGCAUGCAAGUCGUACGGGCCGCAAGGCCAGUGGCGCAAGGGUGAGUAAGGCGACGGUAACCAACCCCAGGACUGGGUAUAGCCGCGGGAAACUGCGGGUAAUCCCCAGCGACGUCGCGGAGGGGCAUCCCUCCGCGACCAAAGCUCCGGCGUCCUGGGACGGGCCGUCGUGGUAUUAGGUGGUUGGCGGGGUAACGGCCCACCAAGCCUGCGAUGCCUACCGGGCGCGCGAGCGUGGCCCGGCACACUGGGACUGAGACACUGCCCAGACUCCUACGGGAGGCUGCAGUCGAGAAUCUUCGGCAAUGGGCGCAAGCCUGACCGAGCGACGCCGCGUGGAGGAUGAAGGCCUUCGGGUUGUAAACUCCUGUCGAGGGGGAAGAAGGCCCCGCGAGGGGCUUGACUGAUCCCUGGAGGAAGCACGGGCUAAGUUCGUGCCAGCAGCCGCGGUAAGACGAACCGUGCGAACGUUAUUCGGAAUCACUGGGCUUAAAGCGCGUGUAGGCGGGACGGCACGUCGGUCGCUGAAAGCCCCCGGCUCAACCGGGGAACGGGCGCCGAUACGACCGGCCUGGAGGGACGUAGGGGGACCUGGAACUUCCGGUGGAGCGGUGAAAUGCGUUGAGAUCGGAAGGAACGCCCGUGGCGAAAGCGAGGUCCUGGACGUUUUCUGACGCUGAGACGCGAAAGCCAGGGGAGCGAACGGGAUUAGAUACCCCGGUAGUCCUGGCCGUAAACGAUGGGCACUGGGUAGGGGGCUCGCCGAUGGGCUCCCUGCCGUAGGGAAACCGUGAAGUGCCCGCCUGGGGAGUAUGGUC